UCGUCUUCUGGUUACGGGGCCAUAGCUCAGCUGGGAGAGCGCGUGCUUUGCAAGCAUGAGGUCGUCGGUUCGAUCCCGUCUGGCUCCACCAGAUGGUUUGAUCACCUGCGACUGACCGUCGUCCGCGAAACAUCACUUCGCAUUCACUAGUCUGGAUAGACAGUGAACUGCGUGUUUUCUGACAUCGUAAAGAGGAGAUCGAUCCGAGUUGGGUCGUGCAGCAGAUUGUUGCGCGGAUCCUUCAUUAUCUCCGGAUCAUUUUCGGCGCUCGCUUUCAGCCGUGAGGCUGAACGCGAGUUGUAAAAUGAUCCUUUUAGCGAAGCUUGACCGCCUCGCUAUCGGAACGAUCUUAAGAAGCAAGCUGGUCUUUCUAGUCAAUGUCCGGCUGUGAGAAUAGCGCUCGUCGAGGGCGCGUGCCGCAAGGCGGUUCUUACAGGCAGCAUUCUGCCGAGUGUGUGGACAUUGAUAAUGAGAGCAAUCAAGUGCCUUAAGGGUGUUCGGUGGAUGCCUUGGCGCUGAGAGGCGAUGAAGGACGUGCUACGCUGCGAUAAGCCGUGGGGAGCUGCGAAGAAGCUUUGAUCCGCGGAUUUCCGAAGGG
rnacentral:misc_RNA from 1 species